CCGUUGCCGGCGACCGGCGCACGGGUGAGUAACACGUAUGCAACCUGCCCGUGGCAGGGGGAUAAGCGGGGGAAACCCCGUCUAAUACCGCGUAACGCGGCCUUGGGGCAUCCCAAGGCCGCCAAAGGGAGCAAUCCCGGCCACGGAUGGGCAUGCGGCGCAUUAGCUAGUCGGCGGGGUAACGGCCCACCGAGGCGACGAUGCGUAGGGGUUCUGAGAGGAAGGUCCCCCACACUGGUACUGAGACACGGACCAGACUCCUACGGGAGGCAGCAG
rnacentral:rRNA from 1 species